rnacentral:lncRNA from 1 species
CGAAACUAGUCGUCGGGCACUGAUGAGGGACUUUGUGUGGUCCGAGAGCGUUUUGCCAUUGAGGGUCCUUUGCUUGUAGAGCUGUCUUUUUUGCUAGCAGGUAUCUCUGCUUGGGUGGUGUUUUAUUAUUAUACAAUGAAACAAAACAGAAAACAAAAGCAUACCGGCUUGGACAUUGCCCAGGUUAACAAGGUCUGUGUUUGUGAGUUAUGCAGAGGCUCGCAUUCGGAAAGUUCACUACAAUCUCUCUUGGCCACUGGUGGCGAAAGCAGCACCAACCCAAGUCUGGCUGCUACAAUAUACAUACCCACAGUAGGCGACGAGUCACCACAUCAGAGUCCAACCAGCCAAAAUGUUUCCCGGGCAACUCAGCCA